GAUGAACGCUGGCGGCGUGCCUAAUACAUGCAAGUCGAGCGAACAGACGAGGAGCUUGCUCCUCUGACGUUAGCGGCGGACGGGUGAGUAACGCGUGGAAAACCUACCUAUAAGACUGGGAUAACUUCGGGAAACCGGAGCUAAUACCGGAUAAUAUAUUGAUCCGUAUGGUUCAAUAGUGAAAGACGGUUGUGCUGUUACUUAUAGAUGGAUCCGCGCCGUAUUAGCUAGUUGGGAAGGUAACGGCUUACCAAGGCAACGAAGCGUAGCCGACCUGAGAGGGUGAUCGGCCACACUGGAACUGAGACACGGUCCAGACUCCUACGGGAGGCAGCAGUAGGGAAUCUUCCGCAAUGGGCGAAAGCCUGACGGAGCAACGCCGCGUGAUUAAUGAAGGUCUUCGGAUCGUAAAACUCUGUUAUUAGGGAAGAACAGAUGUGUAAGUAACUAUGCACGUCUUGACGGUACCUAAUCAGAAAGCCACGGCUAACUACGUG
rnacentral:rRNA from 1 species